GCAGUAGCCGCGGUAAUACGGAGGGGGCUAGCGUUGUUCGGAAUUACUGGGCGUAAAGCGUACGUAGGCGGCUUUGUAAGUUAGAGGUGAAAGCCUGGUGCUCAACACCAGAACUGCCUUUAAGACUGCAUCGCUUGAACGUCGGAGAGGUGAGUGGAAUUCCGAGUGUAGAGGUGAAAUUCGUAGAUAUUCGGAAGAACACCAGUGGCGAAGGCGGCUCACUGGACGACUGUUGACGCUGAGGUACGAAAGCGUGGGGAGCAAACAGGAUUAGAUACCCCUGUAGUCCCUGUCUCUUAUCC
rnacentral:rRNA from 1 species